AAUUAAUUAGCUUAAUUAAAAAGCAUGUGUUUUGAAAGCACAAAAAAGAAGUUUAAUCCUUCUAUUAAUUU
rnacentral:tRNA from 1 species